rnacentral:lncRNA from 1 species
AUUUCUGGCUAACAGUGCAGCAGUAGCACUAAAUCUCUUUCAUUGCAUCUUGAAAGCAUUGUUCUGAUUUCAGUGGCCACACACUGCUAAAUGACUGACUUCACCAGCAAUGGAAGGCACUCUUAAUUCAGUCCGUAUAUUAAGGUAACAGCAUGUUAAUGUGGACAUAAAAUUUCCAUUUUUGAAAGCGUGUGAACAUCAACAGAUUUGAAGGUUCCUUUGAAUAAUUUGGAAUAUUCCUGAUGCAACCCAGUACAAGGACAGGCAAACAUUGGGUGAACACCUCAAGUAAUGCAAAGACAGGAAGAAUUACUCUAAAUUUAAAAGCCACUCUGAUGCUAAUGGCCAACUCAACAGUGCAGAAGGAGACAUUCUUCCUCCCAGUCAUGCCUGAGCCACUUGGUUUCAUUUUUUUAUUCAUGUACUUACCUAGAGCUCUACAUCCUCUGUUAAUUGUGUUUGUGUGCAGUAACUCACGGAAAGCUGACUCCACAAUAUCUGAUAACUGGAUUGAUAUCUGGAAAAAUAGUUAACAAUAUAUUCAGCCUUCGAAGAGCAAGAAAAUCAUUUCAGGAGCUCCUGGGGAGGGAUCUUUUCUCUGCUGAAAUCAAUAACAAAAUCCUGUUAAUUGUGGGGUAGUCAGGAGUCUUCCUUCAUGUUUUAUGUGUACAUAUAUUUGUAUGUAUUCAAAUCAGAGAGAUAAAAUAAUUAUUAUUCUAUUUAUUUAUUUACAUAUUUACUUAUUUAUUGUCAAAGAAUUGAAGGAUUUUUCAUGGAAACAAAGAUUUUGGAAUUCAGCCAGAUAUGUGAUCGGAGUAUAACUCAAAGUUUUUAAGAAGGAAGUUUGCUACAAGCUGACACCUAUUAAAGCAUCAUUUCUGACACACAACUGUUUAUGAUUCAUUUUUUCCUUUUUAUGAUGUAUACUCUGCAGUACAAAACUCCAAUAUUUCAGUUUCUAAGUGUUAUCUCCUACUUCUCAUGCCACAACAUAGUCUUUUUCAGCAAUGACUCUUCAGCUGUUUAGUUCCUAAUACGGCUGUUCAGGAGGGCAUGGUAUAAUCUUCAGCCUUCAGAGGAUAUGUUUAUAACUAUAUGUAUAUCUAUAUGGUUACAGUGACAGUAUCUGUCCUUCUACAAUUCAAACAACA